rnacentral:snoRNA from 1 species
AAGACUAUACUUUCAGGGAUCAUUUCUAUAGUAUCUUACUAGAGAAGUUUCUCUGACUGUGUAGAGCACCCGAAACCACGAGGAUGUUAUAAGGCGUUCUCCUCUGAGCGUGAAGCUGGUUUUGAGAUUUGUUUUAGCAAUAUCUCUUUACCAUUGAUGACCGUUCGUACCACUUUCCGAAGUGGCAUGAGGGGGAGAACGUGUUCUGAAGUGG